CCUAUCACGGAGGUCCCGUGUAAGUGGUUGUUUCGAGUGUAACACUUCAUCAGUUUCGCGCACGGGAACACCCCCUUGUAUGUAAAGGUCAUGGAUCAAAGAGGGGUGACCCAGACUGCCUGUAGCAGGCCCGACAAGGAUGCGAAGAAUACUAUUUUGGAUGACUCGGCCAACAUCAAUAGAAUAUCCUUUUUGAAUCACAAAAUUCAGUAAGGCCCGUUCCUUUGUGACCUCGCUAGUGUUGCUACUGGGGAUCAGUUUGGAUGAUAUGAAGUGGUGCCAGAUUUUACAAUUGGGUGUCAG
rnacentral:lncRNA from 1 species